CAUACUGUUUUGUUGGAAAAGAUGUUUGAUGAUUUUAAUCUUCUUGAGUUUAUUGAGACUUGGUUUGUGGCCUAGAAUGUGAUCUACCUUGGAGAAUGUUCAAUGUGCACUGAGAAGACUGUGAAUUCUGUUGCUUUUUGAUGGAAUGUUCUGUGUAU